UGGGGAAUAUUGCACAAUGGAGGGAACUCUGAUGCAGCGACGCCGCGUGAACGAAGAAGGCUUUCGAGUCGUAAAGUUCUUUUAUAUGGGAAGAUAAUGACGGUACCAUAAGAUGAAGCCCCGGCUAACUACGUGCCAGCAGCCGCGGUAAUACGUAGGGGGCUAGCGUUGUCCGGAAUCACUGGGCGUAAAGGGUUCGCAGGCGGAAAUGCAAGUCAGGUGUAAAAGGCAGUAGCUUAACUACUGUAAGCAUUUGAAACUGCAUAUCUUGAGAAGAGUAGAGGUAAGUGGAAUUUUUAGUGUAGCGGUGAAAUGCGUAGAUAUUAAAAAGAAUACCGGUGGCGAAGGCGACUUACUGGGCUCAUUCUGACGCUGAGGAACGAAAGCGUGGGUAGCAAACAGG
rnacentral:rRNA from 1 species